rnacentral:rRNA from 1 species
UUUUACAAUGGAGAGUUUGAUCCUGGCUCAGGAUGAACGCUAGCUACAGGCUUAACACAUGCAAGUCGAGGGGAAACGGCAUUUAGUGCUUGCACUGAAUGGACGUCGACCGGCGCACGGGUGAGUAACGCGUAUCCAACCUACCCAUUACUGUGGGAUAACCUGCCGAAAGGCAGACUAAUACCGCAUAGUCUUCGAUGACGGCAUCAGAUUUGAAGUAAAGAUUUAUCGGUAAUGGAUGGGGAUGCGUCUGAUUAGCUUGUUGGCGGGGUAACGGCCCACCAAGGCGACGAUCAGUAGGGGUUCUGAGAGGAAGGUCCCCCACAUUGGAACUGAGACACGGCCCAAACUCCUACGGGAGGCAGCAGUGAGGAAUAUUGGUCAAUGGGCGCGAGCCUGAACCAGCCAAGUAGCGUGCAGGAUGACGGCCCUAUGGGUUGUAAACUGCUUUUGUAUGGGGAUAAAGUCAAUCACGUGUGAUUGUUUGCAGGUACCAUACGAAUAAGGACCGGCUAAUUCCGUGCCAGCAGCCGCGGUAAUACGGAAGGUCCGGGCGUUAUCCGGAUUUAUUGGGUUUAAAGGGAGCGUAGGCUGGAGAUUAAGUGUGUUGUGAAAUGUAGACGCUCAACGUCUGACUUGCAGCGCAUACUGGUUUCCUUGAGUACGCACAACGUUGGCGGAAUUCGUCGUGUAGCGGUGAAAUGCUUAGAUAUGACGAAGAACUCCGAUUGCGAAGGCAGCUGACGGGAGCGCAACUGACGCUGAAGCUCGAAGGUGCGGGUAUCAAACAGGAUUAGAUACCCUGGUAGUCCGCACAGUAAACGAUGGAUGCCCGCUGUUGGUACCUGGUAUCAGCGGCUAAG